CCACUUCGGUCACUCACGCCCCCUGGGGGGUUCUACGGAUGAAUCUUAGUUGGACCUUGAAGCUCUCACAAGCCAAUCCAGGCUCUGCAACUACGGAGUACAAUUUCUCUCAUUACGUUUCAUUGUAGAAGGAAGUCGUUCGCCAUUUCUUUCCAGAGAUGGAGAAGCACUUUCAGCACUCUUUCGACUUUUGAGCUCGAAUGAUGUUAAAGGAUUGAAAAUCGUCUGCAUUUUCUCCUCUCAAUUGAAUCACACUAUUGAUGGAUGCUACAAAGUGCAUUUGUUCUAUAAACGAUCCUUAUUCUCCCAGAGAAAAUCAUGCAUGGUCUGUAAUUCGUUUUGUCUCAUCCGGUUGACGGAGUCAAGCAAACAAUUCUGAUAAUUAAAACCUCCCAGGAGUUGAAAAUCUUCUGAGUACAUCAUUGAAGUAAGUCGUUCAAUAAAAACUUCAACCAACUCAUGAAGAAGUUCGAAGUUUGAUUCCUGUUCAAUACGUAUUCCAGGAUGGCUUCUCUGGUGUUCAGAAGCUUGUGUAAUUGCAGUGGCAAAGCUAUCCUCAAACGCAAGUAGUACAAACUCAGUGGUCGGAAUGGCUGGCUAUGCUUAAAAUCCACCAUGUCAGAUUAUCACCUCCACUUCUGGGUCGUGUAAAUUGAUGGUGUUCCUGAGAAAGAGCUUUUGCAGAUGAUAUUAGUUUUUGGAAAUGAAGCUUAAUCUGGAAAGGUUAUAAUAUAUUUACGAAAUCUAUCCUUUACCCUGUAAUAGAACUAUUGUGGACUGUCAUUUAUGAUUGCCAAUGGAGAAGCUACUUUGAUGUUGGUGGUUGGAGGGAAUAUGUUGAUUGAGAUUUAAGCAAAGAACAUUUCAGUCAGUUGGCAACUUUUUGGAGCCAGAGGGGAGCUCGUGGUUUGGUUCGAAAUGGAGAAAACUAAGCAAGCUUGGAUGUAAUUCCAUUUCCAUAUGAAUAGGAAAAGAAAGAAAAGAAUGAAUUGAAACU